CCUACGGGAGGCAGCAGUGGGGAAUUUUGGACAAUGGGCGCAAGCCUGAUCCAGCAAUGCCGCGUGAGUGAAGAAGGCCUUCGGGUUGUAAAGCUCUUUUGUCAGGGAAGAAACGGUGGGAGCUAAUAUCUCCCACUAAUGACGGUACCUGAAGAAUAAGCACCGGCUAACUACGUGCCAGCAGCCGCGGUAAUACGUAGGGUGCAAGCGUUAAUCGGAAUUACUGGGCGUAAAGCGUGCGCAGGCGGUUUUGUAAGUCUGUCGUGAAAGCCCCGGGCUCAACCUGGGAAUUGCGAUGGAGACUGCAAGGCUUGAAUCUGGCAGAGGGGGGUAGAAUUCCACGUGUAGCAGUGAAAUGCGUAGAGAUGUGGAGGAACACCGAUGGCGAAGGCAGCCCCCUGGGUCAAGAUUGACGCUCAUGCACGAAAGCGUGGGGAGCAAACAGGAUUAGAUACCCUGGUAGUCCACGCCCUAAACGAUGUCUACUAGUUGUCGGGUUUUAAUUAACUUGGUAACGCAGCUAACGCGUGAAGUAGACCGCCUGGGGAGUACGGUCGCAAGAUUAAAACUCAAAGGAAUUGACGG
rnacentral:rRNA from 1 species